rnacentral:misc_RNA from 1 species
CCGAGUUAGGGUCCCCUUUCGGGGGUGGCCCGACCUCCCAACCCUGUGUCUACUCAACCUGUACGUGUUGCUUCGGCGGACCGGCGUCGCAAGACCGCCGCCGGGGGGCGUCCAACCCCCUGGAGAGUGUCCGCCGAUGGCCCAACCAAACCACAUUAACAAAACCAAAACGAUUGAACCCUUCAUUUCUGAAUCAGACCAUUUUGAUAUACCAAUCAAAAACA